GGGGGCCUCCCCGCCACGCUGCGCUUCUUAAAGGGGCAGAAGCCCUGUUACGCUUUGUUUUGACAGGCGCCCCCGGCCGGCCUCACCGAGACCAGCCAGGAGCACUCAUGGGCUGAUGAAGACGGAUAUCAGUCAUAUUGCACCAUCUGCCAACGGGAAGGGGAUGCUGGUGUUCAGCGCUGCAGCACCCUGUCUACCAGCAGCAUGCAGUAGACAUAGGGUGACAUUGAAAAAAGAGGCAGUGGGGUCUAAACACAUACCUGAAUUAUAAUGCUGUAUGAUUGAAGAUGACCAUUUGUAUCGCUGUUAUUCAAUUGCAACAUCUUAUACAAAGUGUAUCAUGUAAGGUGUCAAUGGAAAAAGUUCGAAUUUGUCAGCUAUGAUUAUCCUGGUUAAAUCCAUGCAUCACUGUAUCUGAAGUUACAAAUAUUGGAUAUAGAUCUGUAUCUCAAACUUGUAUGCCUGGGUGACACCUUAGAACUAGAUUUAUAUCAGGGCUAGCCAACUCUGUGUUGGUGGCCCAUUAAGGACACUCCACUCUCACAAUGGGCCAUUGCAGAGGCAGGCCUUUCUUGUGGAU